rnacentral:tRNA from 1 species
AAAAAGAUAAGCUAAGCUAAGCUAGUAGGUUCAUACCCUAUUUAUAGAGAUCAUGACCCUCUUCUUUUUA